rnacentral:rRNA from 1 species
UACGGGGGGAGCAAGCGUUGUUCGGAUUUACUGGCGUAAAGGGCGCGUAGGCGGUCAGCACAAGUCAGUUGUGAAAUCUCCGGGCUUAACUCGGAAAGGUCAACUGAUACUGUGCGACUAGAGUGCGGAAGGGGCAACUGGAAUUCUCGGUGUAGCGGUGAAAUGCGUAGAUAUCGAGAGGAACACCUGCGGCGAAGGCGGGUUGCUGGGCCGACACUGACGUGGAUGCGCGAAAGCCAGGGGAGGCGAACGGGAUUAGAACCCGAC